ensembl:snRNA U6 U6 spliceosomal RNA
CAGUCAUCAGCAACAAACAUACUAGUACUGGAAUAAUACAGAGAAGGUUAGCAUGACCCAUGUGCAAGGAUGACAUGCAAAUUCAUAAAUCAUUCCAUAUUUUU